AAAAGGUCGAUUCAUCUUUGAAUGUUUCACAUGAAUUUGAUGAAAGCAUGUAAAAUGGAAAAGUUAACGGCUUUUCACUUUCACCAUUCAUUUCCAGUUCAAUCAAUAAAUCAUGUUCAGGAUUGCAAGGCAAAACAAAUGAACCUUCAAUGGGUCAUUUUUAAUGUGCUACAACAAUAAUAAUUGAAUUGUACAUCAACUCAAUCAACUUGGGUUAUCUUGAUUGGUAAACAAUUGGACAUGAAAAUAGCUGACCAGAUUGACCCUGUUCAAAAUACCUUGAAAUACAAAGAGGCAAAAAGUGAUUCAAAUGUUUACCAGCCAACCAUCCAUAAAUGAUCAACUCAUUUGUUUAAAUCACAAUUUCAUCUGAUCACAAAAAAUUGCUUUUUCAAUUUUAAAUCAUCAAAAUGUUCAAAUCUGUCACAAUAGUUGGAUGGUGAAACAAAAUGAAAUGAAAAGCUGAUCGUCUAAUAACCAGGUUUGUCUGGCCAAUUUACAUCAUUUUGAUCAUCUCUUUACCGUUAGUCUCACCUCAAGCUACCAAGAAUAACUCGACUGAUGUAAUUGUGAACAGUUAAACUUACAUUUUAAAAGCUUAUGGUUUAGUCAACUCAUAAUAAUCUGGAACGAUUGCGAUGUCUGGCAUUCAAAGCUUAAAGAUUCAGAAUCCAUUUUUAACUCUUUCAGUCUAAUGUCUUUUGAAUGGGACAGAUUUACAUCUGGUUGUUGGACAAUAGAGACAAUUAUUAAGCUGAAGGUUGAUUUUGUUUGGGUCAAUGUUGAAGGAAUCACAUUGAGCUUUAAAACGAAAUACUUUUCAUGAAGAGUUUAAUCAAU